rnacentral:misc_RNA from 1 species
AAGAGAACGGACAAGAGAUGCCCAAUCCCCAUUUACUAUGUGCACUAUGGAUGCAAGCAUAGCAAACUGAUGCUUCUUUUCCAUUUGGCAGAGUAAACCAAAAUCCAGGAACCCUAUUUUUCCUGAUGAUGUGUAACGCAAGUUUCCUGGAUGGGGAUCAGCAUGCAAUAAGCCUGUUUCAAGAAGCUGAACUAGUGCUGAUUCCACUCCUUUGCUAACCAGCUCAAGAAGUCUCCUUUUUGCUUCAAUUUUAUGCCUUUCCGAAUAUGCAGAAUCAUGAUCAAUAGUAUCACAAGUAGAUAGAGAGAGUAAAUCAGUUGGAUUCUCACCAACCCCCCUCUCCAUUGUCAGAACUCUCUUUCGACUUAAAUGAUGAUAUACUUUUGGAAUGUGCAUAAACUUAAAGGAUGAAUGAGCAUCCAGAAACUUGGAGGCAUUGGCAGCCUCUAGACAGUAAUCCAAUUCCCCAACUAAACCUUUCCCAAGCUCAUCGGCAUAGAGGCGAAGGUCACUUUUUCUCUU